rnacentral:rRNA from 1 species
CAUGCAUGUCGUAGCGAGACAGAAGGGAGCUUGCUCCCGGAUGUUAGCGGCGGACGGGUGAGUAACACGUGGGUAACCUGCCUGUAAGACUGGGAUAACUCCGGGAAACCGGAGCUAAUACCGGAUAGUUCCUUGAACCGCAUGGUUCAAGGAUGAAAGACGGUUUCGGCUGUCACUUACAGAUGGACCCGCGGCGCAUUAGCUAGUUGGUGAGGUAACGGCUCACCAAGGCGACGAUGCGUAGCCGACCUGAGAGGGUGAUCGGCCACACUGGGACUGAGACACGGCCCAGACUCCUACGGGAGGCAGCAGUAGGGAAUCUUCCGCAAUGGACGAAAGUCUGACGGAGCAACGCCGCGUGAGUGAUGAAGGUUUUCGGAUCGUAAAGCUCUGUUGUUAGGGAAGAACAAGUGCAAGAGUAACUGCUUGCACCUUGACGGUACCUAACCAGAAAGCCACGGCUAACUACGUGCCAGCAGCCGCGGUAAUACGUAGGUGGCAAGCGUUGUCCGGAAUUAUUGGGCGUAAAGGGCUCGCAGGCGGUUUCUUAAGUCUGAUGUGAAAGCCCCCGGCUCAACCGGGGAGGGUCAUUGGAAACUGGGAAACUUGAGUGCAGAAGAGGAGAGUGGAAUUCCACGUGUAGCGGUGAAAUGCGUAGAGAUGUGGAGGAACACCAGUGGCGAAGGCGACUCUCUGGUCUGUAACUGACGCUGAGGAGCGCUAUUUAGUCCUACCC